AGAAUCAACGCUGGCGGCGUGCCUAACACAUGCAAGUCGAACGCGAGAGUCCCGCAAGGGACAAUUGAGUGGCAAACGGGUGAGUAACACGUGGGUGACCUGCCUUCGAGUGGGGGAUAACGUUCCGAAAGGAACGCUAAUACCGCAUGACAUCCUGCUCUUGGAAGAGCGGAGAUCAAAGCUGGGGAUCGCAAGACCUGGCGCUUGAAGAGGGGCCCGCGCCUGAUUAGCUAGUUGGUGGGUAACGGCCUACCAAGGCGACGAUCAGUA
rnacentral:rRNA from 1 species